CGCCUUAAAAUAAAAACGUUUUGUCUUUACGGUACGAAUUUGUUUUAACAAGAAAAUAUCAACGUCAUAUUGUCAUCGUUUUUAGAGAUAUUGCUAACACCGCCAUCAUCCACAUCAUCAGUGUCAUCAACGUAGUUGUCAUCAUCUUCGUCCCUCCCCACUAUCAUCACACCAUUAACACAACAUAUCCCCCUCGGUAGUACUCAAUGGUGUUAGUUUCAAGGACUUGCAUCGCAAAGUAUCGGUGAAAUUUUAUACGCUCAACAUCAAAUUUUGUGCACAACUAAUAAAUAUAGAACAGCUUUUGGUAUUGUGCCACUGUUGCUGCUGCUAUCAAAUUACCAUUUCCACGUUCCAAAGUACCGGCAGCCAGCGUUCAGGAGACAGGAGUCAACAGGGCGUGAAGGAAUUCUACACGUUUCAUCUAUCAUCUACAAAAACGACAAGAAAUAACAACUGAAACAACAAAUACAUAAUAUCUUGGACCAAUUUUUACACCUUUUAACACAAGAAUAAGGAAACAACAACAAUUUAUACUUGAAUAUAUAUCAUUUACACCCCCCUUAGCUGUUAGUUGAAAUAGACUAGAAGUUUACACUAAAAUCCUUAGAUUAGAGCAACAAAUCACUAUUCUAUACCAAAAAAAAAAAAAACAACAAAAAUUGCGGAAUAUUUUACUAUCCCGAAUUACACACACAAAACUCCCACAUACAUCAUUAGGAAACCCCUUAAGUAGUAAGUUUUCCAAAGAGUAGAGCUUAGCUGGAAUCCGGACUUUUAAUCAACCACAUAAGUAAUACCCAGAAAACACCUACAAUUGCAGUAAAUCACAGCUAUUUAAGGAUCGCUUCCUCUCUGCGCUCCCGGGUUGACAUCCUAUUGGGAAAUAAAACCAAACAGAAGCAGUAAAAGAUAUAAACAACUACAGGAGUUUGUAGCGGUGGUCAUUCUCUACCGCAACACACACACAUAUCUACAUCUAUCCUCCUCUCCGGUGUUUUUUAAGUUACAACCAGAAAAAUUGGUUUCAAAAUUGGUCAAAUGUUAUGUUGCGGUUUUUGUUGUGGCAACAUGUCAAAGCGAGACUACAAAGUUGCCACAAUGGAUGGCAUAGAACUGGAGCCCUUGGGCGGCGAGAAAAUGGAUAAGGACAAGGAAAAGGAUAAUGAGAAACAGACGAAUGGUGUUACAUUUGGUGGCGAAUCCAGCGGUGGCCGACAAACACGCAAUGGUGUUGCCGUCUGCUCACAAAACGU